rnacentral:rRNA from 1 species
CACGUAGGCGGAUAUUUAAGUCAGGGGGUGAAAUCCCAGAGCUCAACUCUGGAACUGCCUUUGAUACUGGGUAUCUUGAGUAUGGAAGAGGUAAGUGGAAUUCCGAGUGUAGAGGUGAAAUUCGUAGAUAUUCGGAGGAACACCAGUGGCGAAGGCGGCUUACUGGUCCGUUACUGACGCUGAGGUGCGAAAGCGUGGGGAGCAAACA